CCCGGUGGUCAUAGGAGAGGGGAAACACCUGUUCCCAUGCCGAACACAGCAGUUAAGCCCUCCACCGCCGAUGGUACUGCGGGGGCAACUUCGUGGGAGAGUAGGUCGCUGCCGGGA
rnacentral:rRNA from 1 species